AGAGUUUGAUCCUGGCUCAGGACGAACGCUGGCGGCGUGCUUAACACAUGCAAGUCGAACGAUGAAGACCGGUGCUUGCACUGGUUGGAUUAGUGGCGAACGGGUGAGUAAUACGUGAGUAACCUGCCUUUAACUCUGGGAUAAGCCUUGGAAACGGGGUCUAAUACCGGAUACGACCAGUUCCCGCAUGGGAUGCUGGUGGAAAGGGUUUGUACUGGUUUUAGAUGGGCUCACGGCCUAUCAGCUUGUUGGUGAGGUAACGGCUCACCAAGGCGACGACGGGUAGCCGGCCUGAGAGGGUGACCGGCCACACUGGGACUGAGACACGGCCCAGACUCCUACGGGAGGCAGCAGUGGGGAAUAUUGCACAAUGGGCGCAAGCCUGAUGCAGCGACGCCGCGUGAGGGAUGAAUGCCUUCGGGUUGUAAACCUCUUUCAGCAGGGAAGAAGCGAAAGUGACGGUACCUGCAGAAGAAGCGCCGGCUAACUACGUGCCAGCAGCCGCGGUAAUACGUAGGGCGCGAGCGUUGUCCGGAAUUAUUGGGCGUAAAGAGCUUGUAGGCGGUUUGUCGCGUCUGCUGUGAAAGCCCGGGGCUUAACUCCGGGUGUGCAGUGGGUACGGGCUAACUAGAGYGCAGUAGGGGAGACUGGAAUUCCUGGUGUAGCGGUGAAAUGCGCAGAUAUCAGGAGGAACACCAAUGGCGAAGGCAGGUCUCUGGGCUGUAACUGACGCUGAGAAGCGAAAGCAUGGGGAGCAAACAGGAUUAGAUACCCUGGUAGU
rnacentral:rRNA from 1 species